UUCCCUGUGGCUCAGUUGGUAGAGCAUGGUGUGUGCAACGCCAGGGUUGUGGGUUCGAUUCCCACGGGGGACC
rfam:Salmo salar isolate Sally breed double haploid chromosome ssa14, whole genome shotgun sequence.